CCUACGGGGGGCUGCAGUGAGGAAUAUUGGUCAAUGGACGAGAGUCUGAACCAGCCAAGUAGCGUGAAGGAUGACUGCCCCAUGGGUUGUAAACUUCUUUUAUAUGGGAAUAAAAUGUUCCACGUGUGGGAUUUUGUAUGUACCAUAUGAAUAAGGAUCGGCUAACUCCGUGCCAGCAGCCGCGGUAAUACGGAGGAUCCGAGCGUUAUCCGGAUUUAUUGGGUUUAAAGGGAGCGUAGGUGGAUUGUUAAGUCAGUUGUGAAAGUUUGCGGCUCAACCGUAAAAUUGCAGUUGAAACUGGCAGUCUUGAGUACAGUAGAGGUGGGCGGAAUUCGGGGUGUAGCGGUGAAAUGCUUAGAUAUCACGAAGAACUCCGAUUGCGAAGGCAGUUCACUGGACUGCAACUGACACUGAGGCUCGAAAGUGUGGGUAUCAAACAGGAUUAGAUACCCCAGUAGUC
rnacentral:rRNA from 1 species